AUUUUCCACGCGCCGUCCAAUUAA
rnacentral:sRNA from 1 species